UACGUAGGGACCUAGCGUUGUCCGGAAUCAUUGGGCGUAAAGCGCGUGUAGGCGGCUAGGUAAGUCUGCUCUGAAAGCCCGGGGCUCAACCCCGGGAGGCGGGUGGAUACUGUCUAGCUCGAGUCCGGAAGAGGAGUGUGGAAUUCCUGGUGUAGCGGUGAAAUGCGCAGAUAUCAGGAGGAACACCAAUGGCGAAGGCAGCACUCUGGGACGUGACUGACGCUGAGACGCGAAAGCGUGGGGAGCAAACAGG
rnacentral:rRNA from 1 species